GCCCCAGUAGCUCAGUGGAUAGAGCACGGCUCUCCUAAAGCCGGUGUCGUAGGUUCGAUUCCUACCUGGGGCGC
rnacentral:tRNA from 3 species